CGUUUUUUGGCAGAGGCAUGGUCUUUCCUUCUUAUGUAGACUUACCCUCUACCAUUUUAAGUGGUGCAGCUCUCGGUCUCUUUUCUCCCAGCAGAGAGGAGCUCUCGGUUUUCAUAGCAAAGGGUGGUGGUUCUUCAUUGGUUUUCCCCUCUCUCUUGGAAGGUAAUUAGCAAGUAAUGGAAGACUGUUCCUGAGCCUGAAAAACACUCAUAAAUCGAAGAAGAAGCUGCUGAAACGAGGAAGGAAAACUGCAGAAAUUUCCGGCCGAACACAGGUUGUAUUUUUCCAUCCCUUUUUCCAUUGUUUUGCCUUGAAUCUUGUCUAUGGGUUGAUGUUUUGGUUGAUUGAACUCCUAGGAUCCCCAACAAAGAGAUUAUGGAACAACCCACUACGGAAAGAGCAAGAUGACUCUGUUGUUCAAUAGCUAAAUUUGACCUUAACGUAGCCCGGCGGGUCACUUCAUUUUCCAUUUUUUGGAUCAAUUCACCUUUUCUUUUCAAAUUCAAUUGUAGCGUUACGAUAUUUUAUUCCACACAUACUUUUCCAAAACACAAACACAAACACAAAUUAAAAAAUAAAUACUCCCUCCAUCCAUCGUAUAAAGAAAGAUUUGAUCCUAUUAAGAAAACUUAAUUAAUAUAUGUUGAAAUUAUAAAUUUUACUUACAUUUUUCCUAAUGUAUCCCUACAUUAAGAUAAUGGUAAUCGAGAACAAGACACGUUAAAUUUGCGUAUUUGUUGCAAUUUAUUGCUUGUCACUUCACUAUAUAUAUGAGGCAACUAAGAUCUGUAUUCUCCAACAGUGACACCAACGCACACAUGGCAAACCAAGUGGCACAAAAUAACCUUUGAUCAGGUUCAAGUUAUUGAAAGAGGAUGCGGCGGAUCGGAGUUGCGUUCCAGUUAAAGCCUUCUGCUCUCCUGAUAUUUCUCGAAUUCCUCCUCCUGGUGAUGAAUAUUUGAAAUUCUUGGUAAUUAUUUUGCACUUUCUCACUUGCUGAUACAAUUUACAUGUGAUUUUUUAAUGAGUUUAUAUAACGGAUUGCAUGUGAGAAAUAUUACAAAUUCUUAUUAAUAUUCAUACAUCUUAAUUUUCUAAUGUUUUGAUUUCCUGCGUAUUUUUGACUUGUUAAUUGAAUGUCAUUUUAUGGGUUCAUGUAUGGUGAAGUUGCCAAGAUGCUCGUAGUAAAAAAUUAGAGCAAAGAUGGCCGGGAGCGGGACGACAUAGAGGCCGGUGCCUACACUGGACUUUGGGCUUGACACAGGAAAGUCCAGUUUGCGUGUAUUGGACCAAGGCUUAAGUAGUCGUGGUUUUAUGUUGUUGACGAUGGAACUUGUGGCUACUGUGAAAGAAGAAGAGAAGAAGAAAAGGAAAGAAGCAAAGGCGGCAGCUACUGCUUGAAUUCAAGCCAAGCUUGAAGGAAAGAAAGGUCAGGGAAAGGGAAAGGGAAAUGGCAAAUCCAAAUGGUUUAUUUAGAUAAUUUCCUAAUGUUUGAACUUUGAAGACAUAAUUUUGGAUGAAGUUAUUUAUCUAUUAUAAUUCAAUAAUUUAGAAU
rnacentral:lncRNA from 1 species